rnacentral:lncRNA from 1 species
UUUUUUUUUUUUUUUUUUUUUUGCUUUUUUGGGCCGUAUGUGCAGCAUAUGGAAGUUCCUGGGAUAGGAGUUGAAUCGGAGCUGCAGCUUCCAGCCUAUGCCACAGCCGCAGCACCUCAGGAUCCAAGCCACAUCUGGGACCUACACCCCACCUCACUGCAAGGCUGGAUCCUUAACCCACUAAGUGAGGCCACGGAGCGAACCUGCAUCCUCACAGAUACUAGUCAGGUUCAUUUCUGCUGAGCCACAAUGGGAACUCCUAGAGACACUUUAUUUGCUAUAAAUUUUUGAUUCAGUAACAUUGAAUUCAUCACCCCUGUAAUUCAUGCCUGAGUGAAGCAUAUAUAUAGCACAUGUGUUUUCUCCAUCAGGCACAUGGCAGACUCUAGGUACAGUAAUGCAUUUCAGCACUACCUUUGGGGGUUGCUUUCAACAGAAAAAUCACUAAGAAAAAAAGGACAAAAAUUUGAAAAGUGUGGCGCUAAACAGACUGUGAAGAGGACACUUGUUUAUGGUGAGAGCUGAAACAAGGAGACUGAACUUUGCUUCCUUAGACCUCAGAUGGGAACAUGCCACCAAAUUUUUCACCACUUUGCCCAUGUCCAUGAAUGGCUGCAAAAGCACUGCAAAUACUGAUUUUGGAGGUACAGAUAUAUUUUAGAGAGUAGGAAAAUUCACAAAUACAUAAUCCAUGGCAAGUGAUGAUCCAAUGUAUUUCCAUUUUAUACUGCCCCAUUUCCAAUUGUACCUGCAGGUUUUUCAUUAAAUUUGUUGACCAGUAGUUUCUUGAAUGUCUUCUCUGCAUAAUGAGAUUGUAAGUACAUUGUGAGCAAGUACCAUAAACUAUUAUUUUCAAAUUUUACCCUACCUAGUACUAUAGUAAUUACACAAUAGAUUGUAGAUAAAAAUUUUUUUGAAUGAAUGGUUAUUGCUGGACCAGAAAUAGAGACCUGGGAAAGAUCAGAACAUUCGAUACACCUCUAAUACACCUAUACUAUAACCUCUGGUUUGUGAUUUGUAAGGAGAAAUGUAGCACUUUUUCACGGCAACACCAGAUCCUUAACCCACUGAGCAAGGCCAGGGAUUGAACCUGUGUCCUCAUGAAUACUAGUCAGAUUCAUUAACCACUGAUCCACAACAGGAACUCCUGUAGUACUUUGAAAUAAGCAACAGAGAUUAAUGAAUAUCCUUUCAAUGGAACUGAUCCUAAAAGAUAUUCACCUUUAUCUUGGAUUAGACUCUUUUAGCAUUUCGUAGAAAAUUAUUUGUGGAGAACUGAUGAUAAUACAAAUGAUUAUUGUCUAUGAAUAUGUGAACGAAUUUUAUCCAAAGGAGGGAGAACUCUCCUCUGUAGAAAAGCCAGUUUGUAUCCACUUGUAAGUUCAGUAUUCCUGUGCUCUAAAAUGUCUGCUUUUUCAGAUUCUCCUUGAACAGAUUGUAAUAUCUCUCUGGUUCUCUUUUUAAUGAGUUAAAUGAAAUUAUUUUGCAUGAUUUUACUUUUUUUUUUUUGAGAAUUAUCCUAAACACUUUUGCAGUUCCCACUGAGUUGCCCCAUGUGUUCAUCCGACAGCCAGGUGAACUUUACCACCAGGGAAGUGUACCGUGGGUUGCUAAAUCCAGAUACUUCUUUUCCUGCUCCCAGAGGUUAAUCUGAAGCACAGUAGAAUUCUUUAGGUCUCUGCUUCUCUGUUUUCCUCACCUACUUUUUCUCCUCCACCAAUUUUUGAGGUUUGAGCUUGGCCAGUAAAUUAUUUCCCUUUCGUGGCAGCAAGGAUCAGGAAUGUAGUUGUGUGGUCUCACCAUUUGGUGGGCCCUGUAAAGGGAUUAAUGAUUUAUGGAUAUCUAUUUCCUUCCUUUCCUUUCCUUUCCUUUCCUUUCCUUUCCUUUUUAGGGCUGCAUUUGUGGCAUAUGGAAGUUCCCAGACUAGGGGUCGAAUUGGAGCUGUAGCUGCUGGCCUACUCCACAGCCACAGCAACAUGGGAUCCGAGCCACAUCUGCGUCCUACACCACAGCUUAUGGCAACGCCAGAUCCUGAACCCACUGAGUGAGGCCAGGGAUUGAACCUGCAUCCUCAUGGAUACUAGUCGGAUUCGUUUCUGCCGCUCCACUAUGGGAACUCCCUAUGGAUAUCUAUUUUCUGUUAAGUGGGAGACAGCAAAGAAUCUGGAUUCUUGACUUACCGCACCACAGCGGAAACUCCUGUGUUUCUUCUUGAUCCAUGGAAGUUGUUCUUCCUGCUGAAAACUAAAGUGGGUAAGACUGCUCCUCUCUUCUAUUGGAGGUGCCAUGGCUGAUGAUGGAGGAGAGAGGAGCAUGGACAGGUGCAGGGACGCGAAGUCCGAGCGUGGCUCUCCUCCAGAGGAGUAAGUCGCUAGUGGAGGCACUUUUCAGAGUGGGAUAGAGGUAUGGAAAACCUCAUUAAGGAAUGAAGGGCUGUACAGCUAGAAAUAGAGAUGAUUAGAGCUAUAGAAAUGUGACAGCAGAUAAUAUUCAGAAGUAUGAAUUUUGAGCAAUAACAAAGCAACUUAGAAUUACCAGAAAUUUGUUUUUCAAAUCCCUCAGCAGGGGCAUGACCAUUUCAGGUGUCUGGUCUGGGAUGUCCAGACUGGAUCAGCUACAAGGCAGAGUCAGGAUUAUGACAAAAGAAAAAUCCAGAACGGACAGAAGCAGAAAUAUUAGCCAUCUGGAGAAGACUAGUUUUGAGAGGACAGGAGGAGUUGGAAAUUAAUACUAUAAUUAACUGGUCAAGGGGUCCAAACUUUCAGUUAUAAGAUGAAUAAAUUCUGAGAUCUGAAGUGCAGCAUAAUGACUAUGGUUAAUAAAAAUAUGUACCUGAAAUUUGCUAAGAUAAGUGUUCUCACCACACAUACAGGCAAUGAUAACUAAGUGGGGAGAGGGAUAGGAUAUGUUAAUUAACUAGUGAUAAUCAUUUCAAAAUCUUUAUAUAUAUCAAAACAUGUACACCUUAAUAUAUAUACACGGGUUUUGUUUGUUUGUUUUGCUUUGGCCCCACCUGUGGAAUGGGGAAGUUCUCAGGCCAGGGAUCAAACCUGACCCACAGCAGUGACAAUGCUGAGUCCUUAACCACUAGGCCACAGGGGAACUCCUAAUACAUACAGUUUUUAUUUGUCAAUCAUACUUCAGUAUUCUGGGAUUGGGGGGAGAAGUUAAUGCCAUAACCAGAGGAUAGCACUUGUGGUUUUUUAAGUUUCAAUUUAAAUAAUCUCUCCAGAUGUACUGUUAUAUCUCUAUACCAGGUGGACUUCAAUGACAUUUGUAGUUAAGAUUCAUUCACUCUUUCAUUUAGUCAUUUAUCACAACACUCAGUUUAAAGAAAUAAAGUAUUAAAAAGUAGCUGAGGGGAGUUCCCGUCAUGGCUCAGUGGAAAGGAAUCUGACUAGUAUCCAUGAGGAUGCAGGUUUGAUCCCUGGCCUCGCUCAGUGGGUUAAGGAUCCGAUGUUGUGGUGAGCUGCGGUGUAGGUCGCAGACGUGGCUUGGGUCCCAAGUUACACUGGCUGUGGUAUAGGCCAGCGGCUUUAACCUGAUUCAACCUCUAGCCUGGGAACGUCCAUACGCCGCCAGUGCAGCUCUAAAAAAAAAAAGUAGCCGAGGAAUUCCCUGGUGGCUUAGUGAUUAAGGAUUCAGCGUUGUCACUGCUGUGGUGCAGGUUCGAUCCCUGGCCUAGGAACUCCUGCAUGCCAGGGGCGCGGCCAAAAACUAACAUAGCUGAAACCUCUUGGCACUUCACCCACAACUCCUUCAUCUCCCCAGAUGUGACUACUCUCCUGAUUUUCCUCCUUUUCAUUUCCACAUAUGCUCUUAUAUAUUUCAGUGGAUGUAAGUGUACCAAACAUUAUGUAAUGUUUCUUGUAACAUAUUUUAAACCUAUGCAUAAGUGGGGUACUCUGUAUCUUCGUGCAACUUGCUUUUUCAUCUUAAUGUUGUAAUUUAAGGGAGUUCCUGUUGCGGCUCAGGGGUAAUGAAUUUGGCUAGUAUCCAUGAGGAUGUGGAUUUGAUCCCCGGCCUUGCUCCAGCAUUGCUGUGCGCUGUGGUGUAGGUCAUCGACGCCACUCAGGUUCCACGUUGCUGUGGCCAUGGUUGUGGCUGGCAGCUGCAGCUCCAAUGUGACCCCUAGCCUGGGAACUUCCAUAUGCCACAGGUGCAGCCAUAAAAGGCAGAAAAAAAAAAAAAAGAAAUUGUAAUUUAAGACUUACCCAUGUGUAUACCUCCAAUACUGGUUCAUUCACUUUUCAGUACUGUACAGCAUUCCAAAUACAAGGCAUAAUUUAUUAAUUCUUUAUUCUGCUGGUAUACAUUUAUAUUGUUUACAAAAACUGUAAACAAUAGUU